UGCUGAUAGGAGUUUAUCCAUAGUUCUUCAGUCUUUCUUUCCAAAGUCAGCACUUGCUGUGUGCCAGAACCUGCUCUGGGUGCUGGGGAUAGAGCGGUGAACAAAACUUCUCUCAUGGAACUAGUUUUCCUGGAGGGGCGAGAGAAUAAGUUGUUACUGAGUGUGGCUGAUAGCAGUUAGUGCUGUCAGAAGAGGAAUCUUAGGGAAAGGUACAGGGGUUGGGAGAAAUACAGUAGUACCUCAGUACUUAUUUAUUCUAGGAAUGCAAUGAGCACCAAAAAUGACAAGAACCAAGCACAUUGUUUUGGCUGGAAAGGGUAAUGAGUCACAUGGCAUAUGACACUGACAAGUUCUAGCUUGCAAGGCAAGUAUCAAUCAAAACUAGGACAGAAAGGGGCCAGGGAUUUAGCUCAGUGGCUCUGGUGCCUCCCUUGCAAGUGUAAGGUCCCAAGUUCGAUCUCUGGUACAAAAAAAACCCAAACAAACUAGGACAGAAGUUUUGUGUCAAAAUGCGUCCAGUACCAAAUUCCAUGAGUCUUAAAGCAAUCAUUUAUAAACAUUGCCAAGAAAGGUGUCUACUGAGUAGACAUUUGGGCAUACAUGAAGCAAGCGAGCAGGCAGAUAUCUGUAAGCACAGGGAGCAGCAAGUCAGGCUAAGAAGAAAGCAUGCUUGGUAUGUUCAAGGAUUAGCAAAGAGACACACAUGGCUGGAACAGGAUGGGUGACCAAGAAAAUGCCAAGAAUGAGGGCAGAGAAGUAGCCAGGGCUCAGAUUGUGUAGGAUCUUGAAAGGUAUACUAUGGACUUGAGCUUUCACUCUGACUGAGAUUGUUUUCAGUUAGGGGUCCUCUGGCUGACCUAUAAACUGUUAACUAUUGUCACAGGGUGAAUUAAAUGGAAGGAAUUGGUUAAAUGGGUAACAAGAAUCACAGGAAGCUGCUCCCAUCCCUAACUUCUGGGGAGCCAGAAAAAUUGAAGAUGGUACAAGCGGAAGCUUCUGGGGAGCCCCUGAGGACCUGUGGAGACACUUGCUGUCCAGUUGCUUCUGGUCCCUGAGGUGCUGAUGUGGAGUUAAUGUAUCAACAGAGCUCUGGAGACUGGAGAACCUACCUAAGAUGUGGGGCUGGACUUCCAAAAGAGGCUAUCUUGGUAUUGGCAGGUGACAGUGCCUGCACCUGUAGCCAGCCACAGUACUAUCAGUUUUGAAUACAUUUUCCUUCGAUGGAAUUGGAGGGUGAGCUAAUGGGACCAGAGUGUGUGCAGAAAUAUCACCAAAUCGCAAAAUAAUGGAAAACAGUCUACAUCACGAAUUACCCCAUAAACAGAAUGAUCACAGAUCCUUUGUGUUAUGAAAGCCCCACGUGUGCAUUUCUCUAAAUGAAAGUCUCCUGAACUUAAACCCAUGGACAUUUUAAAGAAAAUGCAGUAAGCCAAUGCUUCCUUGGCUAAAAACGUGUCUGUGCUCUGCAAACAAUGAACAGAACCCAGGAAGGGAGAUGCAGACCGCCUGCUGAGCCAGUCCUAGUUCUCUUCCCUGGAAAUCUUGUCCUUGCACAGAACUUCUGGAAACCAAUAAAAGAAAACUAAUGUGCUACCCAGAGCAGAGAAAAUGGAAAUCUGCUGAGUUAAUAUUGUGGGUCAUAAAAGUCACUCAAAGAGAAUUCUUUCAAUAAGAAUAAUGGUACUGCUUAACAUCCCCAGAACACAAUGUGAAUGAGCUUUUAAAAUUUUAUUCUAAUUACAAGAGAAAUAUAUUCUGAGUAUAGAAGAUGAGGAACAUAGAGAAAACCCUGAAGGAAUCAAACAACCCUAUUGUGAGAUAAAACUCAGGUAACAUUUUGGGAUAUUUAACAAUGUCUAUUGCCUUGACGCCAAAAAGUCGGCAUUAUUGUUGAACAUUAUUAUUAUUAAAGUUUGGAUGUAUUUCAUUUGAAUGAUGGCUAUAAAUAAAUUUUAAGCAGAAAGCAAAAAUGACUUUUCUUUUGAUUCCAGGGCCUUCUCAUUAAACUACAUCCUCAAUCCUUUCUUGUUUUCUUAUUUUGAGUCAGAGCCUUGCUAAACUGCCAUGCUGUUUAAAUUGGACUCAAAACAUGCAAUCCUCCUGCCUUACCCUUCCAAAAUAUUGGAAUUACAGGCAUGCAUUGGAAUCACAGGCAUUUAAAUUUUAAAACAGAUACAGCAACACCUGUAAAGAACAGUUGGGCAUUAUGCUCUUGAAAUUUUUGAAAAACUAGAUGCUUAGUUAAUGCUUCCUUUACUUAAAAUAUUUUAGUCUCUGUGUUGGAAUUGCCCUCAAAACUGGUAUAUGAGCC
ensembl:lncRNA